rnacentral:rRNA from 1 species
UACAGAGGGUGCAAGCGUUGUUCGGAAUUAUUGGGCGUAAAGGGCGCGUAGGCGGUGCUGUAAGUCUGUAGUGAAAUCUCUGGGCUCAACUCAUAGUCUGCAUCGGAAACUGCCGGGCUUGAGUGUGGGAGAGGUGAGUGGAAUUCCUGGUGUAGCGGUGAAAUGCGUAGAUAUCAGGAGGAACACCUGUGGCGAAAGCGGCUCACUGGACCAUAACUGACGCUGAUGCACGAAAGCUAGGGGAGCAAACAGG